GACGAACGCUGGCGGCGUGCUUAACACAUGCAAGUCGAACGGAGCGAAUGAAAGCUUGCUUUUAUAAGCUUAGUGGCAAACGGGUGAGUAACACGUAGGCAACCUGCCGACAGGAUGGGGACAACAUUCCGAAAGGAAUGCUAAUACCGAAUGAAGCGCAGGAGAGGCAUCUCUCCUGCGUGAAAGAUGGCCUCUAUAUAUAAGCUAUCACCUGUCGAUGGGCCUGCGUCUGAUUAGCUGGUAGGUGAGGUAACGGCUCACCUAGGCGACGAUCAGUAGCCGGUCUGAGAGGAUGAACGGCCACAUUGGGACUGAGACACGGCCCAGACUCCUACGGGAGGCAGCAGUGGGGAAUCUUCCGCAAUGGGCGCAAGCCUGACGGAGCAACGCCGCGUGAGUGAAGAAGGUCUUCGGAUCGUAAAGCUCUGUUGAUGGGGACGAACGUGCCUAAUGCGAAUAGUAUUAGUAAUGACGGUACCCACCGAGGAGCCACG
rnacentral:rRNA from 1 species